UUUUUUUUUUUUUUUUUUUUUUUUGGUCUGUCCCACAGCAUAUGGAGUUACCUGGCCAGAGGUCAGAUCAGAGCCAGAGUCGCAACCUAUGCUCCAGCUGUGGCAACUCCAGAUCCUUAACCCACUGUGCUGGGCUGGGGAACCUAUGUCUCUAUGCUGCAGAAACACCCCUGAUACCGUUGCACCACAGUGGAACUCUAAAGCUAGAAUUUUUUGAACAAAACAGUUGCCUUGGUUUUAUCGUGCGUUCCCUCUAUUAUUUGGGAAAGCAUUUCUGAUGAUGAAUUUCAUAUUUAACUAUCAAGUCAAAUAAACAUAGGUUUACUUUGUUCAGUUAAUUUUACAGUAGGUUUUGUUUUCUAUGAAAGUAGACAAAAGAAUGUUCCCUCAAGAGAGCGCUUUAAAAAUUCAUCUUUGCUUUAAUAAGUUUUUAAAAGAAUGUAAAUUAAAAGAGAUGUUGUUUUCCAUAACCUGACACGAAAAUUAUUUAAUGGGGAUUAGUUAACAGAAUUUAAGACGGUAGAGCUAUCUAUUACAAAUUUCUCCUAAUUGGGACCAAGUGCUUCAUGUGAUGGUUGAGGAAAUGAGAAACUUUGUCAAUACCAUUAUCCUCAAAAAUAAAUACUUCUGCAUAAUACGGUAUUAAUGGGUAAUCUAUUUUGUUUGAUUUUUUUCCCACCCCCAAUUUUUUAAAUCUCUGUAAUUAAACAUGGGGCUAAGUUCCUCUGUCUGUUGUUGGGAGGUGUGCUAGUUAAAAUUCAUUGUCAUGGGAUCUAAUAAUAUCAGUGAAAAAUAAGUUAGGUAAUAAUAUAACCAUCCUAGCAUAAUUGAUGUGAGCAUUUAAAAAUUGUUCAAGAGAUAAUUAUUGACUUUCAGCAACUACUAAUUUUCUAGAGAAAUACUUUGAACAUUACAUCUUAAUUUAUUCAGCUCAACUAAUGGUUUCUGAGGUGGUCGACUUCCAGCACCACAAGGCACUCUGCUAAGUCAUAAACAACAUGGCAAUAGCCUAAGUUAACACAGUGCAAGCAAAGCUCUUCAGAUCUUGUUCAUGACACUGAAAACCAGUUCAAAUAUAACUGGUGGCAAUUCCUUUUUUAUGGACUAGAGUAUGUUUGUGACAGGUAACAUUAGAUAACAAUGUUGAAAAUAAGAUAUGCUUCUAUUGUCAAUUUCAUUCAUGUGUCCUAUUUACCUGUAGAAGUUGUGUAAGUGCCUCAGAAGUAGUGAGCUAUUGAAAGUAUCAUUGAUCUAUAAUUUAAGAACUUGCAGUAAAGGUAUUUGCAUGUGUACUAUAACUAGUAGUAUAUAGGUAUAUAUAAUUUUAAAUCAUUUAUAAUUUAAAAAUACUUUAAUUUCUUGCAUAGUUUCCCCCAGAAUUUUUUAAUCAGAAUUCCUAGCAUUAAAAAAUUAGUUUAGGUGUGUCUUAUUUCUCUUGCUGGUAAAAGCACAUAUGAGUAUUGACCCACAAUACUUAUGGGCUAUGACAGGCCAUGGAUGAGGAGAAUUUGACUAGUAAGUACCUAGCAAGCAACCUACUUUGUGCUGAGGUGUUGGACUGUAGGGACGACAAUAAAAAUAAGGACCAGGAUCUAACCCACAAGUAGGAUCUAUUUAAAAAGACAAAAACUGUUGUUACACCUAUGACAGAAAUAAUCACAAUCUACAACUUCGAAAAAGGUUUUAUAAGUUCACAAAAGGAGGGAGUUGUGGCUCAUCAAGUUAAGAACCUGACUAAUACCCAUGAGGAUGUGGGUUCGAUCCCUGGCCUCUCUCAAUGGAUUAAGGAUCUGGUAUUUCAGAAAAUGGCUGUGGUGUAGGCCAGUGGCUAUGGCUUUGAUUAAACCCCUAGCCCGGGAACUUCCAUAUGCCCUAAAAAGACCAAAAAAAAAAAAAAAAAGUAAUAAAAGGAGAUAAACCACAUUAUACUUGAACUUUGCCUUAAAUUAUGAAUGAGAUUGGUAUAGAGAGGAAACUAAGGUAAAGACAAAAGUUUAAAUCAACACACAUAUUAUGUUCAUAAGACAGUGGAGAGACAGAAAGAAGAGGGUGAGGAAUGAGAAAUGUUACACAGAAUAGGGCUAGAAUUAUAGAGGGUCUUGAAAGUUGAUUUAGACUAGAAAACUUGACUUUCAGAAGAGAGACAUAAAGAAACUGCCUUAAGAAACACACAGUAGGGAGGCUGGGCCAUAGGGAAACCAGCCAACAAAUUGCACUAAUCCAAGCAUGAGUUGUAACAAGCACUAGGGAAGAAGAGCCAAUGAGAAGCAAAAGGAAGAGAUAUAAAGAAUGUUUUGCAAGGAAUACCUAUAGAAUUUAUCCACUAAUAAGGGAGAUUGUGAAAAGCACAAAGGUCAGAAGACUGGAGAGUGGUAGUGUCAUUUGUGAGAACAAGAAAGUUGGGAAAAGGAAGCCAGUUUGGGAAGGAAAGAUGAUUCGUAUUUUGGAGAUAAAUGCGAAUGUCCAGAAGCACAUAAAGAUAAAGUAAUAGCCUCUACUGAGUAUGUAUUGUUUACUCAGUCACCUGCAUCAUCAUCACAAGCCUAUGAUAGUAGUAGCAUUUCUUCAGUAAAAAGAAAGAAUUGAUUAAAGCUUUAGAAGUUGAUAAUAAAAUUCUGGGACUGAAUUAUCUCAAAAUAUCUGAAAGAAGAUGGAGACAGGCAGAAAAUCAAGUCUUGAAUCGUACCAAAUGAGUAUAACAAAGAGAAAGAGCGGAGUGAUCAGAAGAGAGCCAAAAUAGUAUGGUAAUUCAUCUCUCUAGUGGUCUAUAAUUUAUUAAGUAGUUUUAUAGAUAUUAACUUAUUAGAACCUCUGAAUGCUAGGAAGAUGGCAUUAUCCCCAUUUUAGAUAAGACAUGAACCUCCAAGUUGAGUUAUUUGACCAAUGUCACACAACCAGCAAGAUCAACAUCACAUGCAUCUUCUAAUCCCAAAUAAAAGUGUUUUGUCCACCAGAGACAAGAAAAGCAAAAUUUAAAAGAGAAUUGGUUUACAUGCAACAAAAAUGUCAAAGGCUGUGAAGAUUUAAAAUGCCACUUAAUUUGGCAAUAUAAAGGCCUUGCAUAACUUGUGGGAACAUUUUUAGCACAAUGAUUGGGACAAGUGGCAAUAACCUCUAUAGGCACUUGGAUUUUAUUUCUCAUCUGGGGAUCAGUGGAAGGGGGAUGUCUAGGGCUUUCUGAUUUCUGGAACUAGACCCCUGCUUUAAAGUGGGAUCUCAGGAUUGUACCCACAAAGAAAUAUAAAAGGAUGGAGUUCCCAUCAUGGUGCAGUGGUUAACGAAUCUGACUAGGAACCAUGUGGUUGCAGGUUCGAUCCCUGGCCUUACUCUGUGGGUUAAGGAUCUGGCAUUGCUGCGAGCUGUGGUGUAGGUCGCAAAUGUGGCUUGGAUCCCGAGUUGCUGUGGCUGUGGUGUAGGCCAGCGGCUACAGCCCCGAUUAGACCCCUAGCCUGGGAACCUCCACAUGAC
rnacentral:lncRNA from 1 species